UGGGGAAUUUUGCGCAAUGGGCGAAAGCCUGACGCAGCAACGCCGCGUGAGUGAUGAAGGCUUUCGGGUCGUAAAGCUCUGUCAGGGGGAAAGAAGUGUAUUGUGGUUAAUACCCACGAUACUUGACGGUACCCCCAAAGGAAGCACCGGCUAACUCCGUGCCAGCAGCCGCGGUAAUACGGAGGGUGCGAGCGUUGUUCGGAAUUAUUGGGCGUAAAGCGCGUGUAGGCGGUUUGUUAAGUCUGAUGUGAAAGCCCCGGGCUCAACCUGGGAAGUGCAUUGGAAACUGGCAGACUUGAAUACGGGAGAGGGUAGUGGAAUUCCUAGUGUAGGAGUGAAAUCCGUAGAUAUUAGGAGGAACACCGGUGGCGAAGGCGGCUGCCUGGACCGAUAUUGACGCUGAGACGCGAAAGCGUGGGUAGCAAACAGG
rnacentral:rRNA from 1 species